CGCUGAUGAAAAUUUGAAUAGCACGUUUCAGCGAAUCACCGGUAGAUGACACUGUUAGGCGAUACUGCACCGAAUGACAGAGAUUGCUAAGGUUAAGGGCAUGCGGAAUAGUCGAAUUGGCGGGCACGAUCAGUAAUUACUUAUAAUAUUAAUAUUUUCAUUAUGUUUCGGCCGACUAGAAGUUUAAUGAUAACGUUACGGCAAGUUAAAGAUUGUCGCUCUUUAAGUAGGUUUAGUCAACAAUUUUCAGAAAUCACCGAAUACGAAUCUCCUAUCACCGAUGAAUAUAAGAGAGGACCCUUGGAAGGUAGAUCGCUUUAUUUAGAUGCUCAAGCUACAACACCUAUGGACCCACGGGUAUUGGAUAAGAUGAUGUUAUAUUUUACUUCUUAUUAUGGAAAUCCACAUUCUAGAACCCAUAUGUAUGGAUGGGAAACAGAAGCUGCAAUAGAACAUGCUCGUAAACAAGUGGCAGAUCUGAUAGGUGCCGAUAAAAAAGAGAUUGUUUUUACGUCUGGUGCAACAGAAUGCAAUAACAUUGCUGUGAAGGGCGUAGCAAGGUUUUAUAAAUCAAGAAAAAAUCAUGUUAUAACAACACAAACUGAGCACAAAUGUGUAUUAGAUUCAUGCAGAGCCUUGGAGGCAGAAGGAUUUGACGUGACAUAUCUACCAGUUAAAUCAAAUGGACUUAUCGAUAUCGAUCAAUUAGAAGCCGCUAUUACGCCAGCUACAUCGCUCGUUUCUGUAAUGACAGUUAAUAAUGAAAUUGGUGUUAGACAACCUAUCGAACAGAUUGGUGCUAUUUGCAGAAAGAGAAAGGUUUUUUUUCAUACCGAUGCAGCUCAAGCCGUUGGCAAGAUACCGCUUGAUGUUAAUGCGAUGAACAUUGAUCUCAUGUCUAUUAGUGGUCAUAAAAUAUAUGGACCCAAAGGUAUUGGAGCACUCUAUGUAAGACGAAGGCCACGUGUUCGCAUUGAAGCGUUACAAAGCGGAGGUGGACAGGAACGAGGUAUGAGAAGCGGAACUGUUCCAGCACCUUUGGCUGUUGGGCUUGGUGCUGCUUGUGACUUGGCACGAUCAGAAAUGGAGUAUGAUCAUAAAUAUAUUACGAAUCUUUCAAAUAUCUUGAUUGAAAAAAUUAUGUCUAAUUUACCGCAAGUUGUACGCAAUGGGGACUCAAUUGCUUGGUAUCCUGGAUGCGUUAAUUUGUCAUUUGCAUGUGUAGAAGGAGAAUCAUUAUUAAUGGCACUGAAAGAAAUAGCCUUAAGUAGUGGUUCUGCAUGCACAAGUGCAAGUUUAGAACCUAGUUACGUGUUAAGAGCAAUUGGAGCAUCGGAAGAUCUAGCGCACUCUAGUAUCAGAUUCGGUAUUGGCCGGUUUACUACGCUGGAGGAAAUUGAAUAUACUGCAAAACAUACGAUUGAAGAAGUUAAGAAGCUUCGCGAUAUGAGUCCCCUGUGGGAAAUGGUCGAAGAUGGAAUCGAUUUAAAAACUAUCAAAUGGACUCAGCAUUAGUUUUUUCUUCUUCGUCAGCGUGUGAGUUAGAAGGCUCAUAUAUCGAGAUAAGCAGAGAGAAUUAAGCGUAGAGAGAUGGAUCGGUAGCUUCGUCGAUAUAGGAAAUUUUAAAACGAUCCUUGUCCAUUUCGUGAAGUUCCAUACGAGAUCGAUUAGCUUCAACUAGAUGCUGCGCAAUGUCCUCGAACAUUUCAUGUAUUCCUUCUCCGGUUUUACAAGACGUUUUGUAAGUUCCAGAGAUUAAGUUAUGACAUUGCUCGCUAAAGUGAUCAUAUAUGUUAUAUUAUAGAAAUUAAGAGAAAUAUAUAUAUAUAUGUAUAUAU